rnacentral:rRNA from 1 species
UCCUCCCUCUGGCGGCGUGCUUAACACAUGCAAGUCGAACGGAAAGGCCCUGCUUUUGUGGGGUGCUCGAGUGGCGAACGGGUGAGUAACACGUGAGUAACCUGCCCUUGACUUUGGGAUAACUUCAGGAAACUGGGGCUAAUACCGGAUAGGAGCUCCUGCUGCAUGGUGGGGGUUGGAAAGUUUCGGCGGUUGGGGAUGGACUCGCGGCUUAUCAGCUUGUUGGUGGGGUAGUGGCUUACCAAGGCUUUGACGGGUAGCCGGCCUGAGAGGGUGACCGGCCACAUUGGGACUGAGAUACGGCCCAGACUACUACGGGAGGCAGCAGUGGGGAAUAUUGCACAAUGGGCGGAAGCCUGAUGCAGCAACGCCGCGUGCGGGAUGACGGCCUUCGGGUUGUAAACCGCUUUCGCCUGUGACGAAGCGUGAGUGACGGUAAUGGGUAAAGAAGCACCGGCUAACUACGUG